CAGCUCCAGGCCCUCCUCCACAUCGCCUCCGGCGACCUCUUCCUCCACGAGUUUGCGUCAAGGGCCAGCGUGCCGUGAGGGGGUUUCCAGUUGGUGGAGCUAGCUAGGAGGUAGCCAUCUUAGCUGGAUCUAGUGAAAAGAUGAUGAUAUUUUCAACUGACCUUGAAGUGGUACAAGCAAUUUGGCCCAGGCUAUGGAGCAUUGGAGGAGGAGUGUAUGGGCUUUGCUUCGUCCCAUCUAUCAGCGACCUGGAAGAACGUCGCAUCCAUUGUGCAAACCGGAUGCAGGUUGCCUCUUUUGUUCAACCAGGUGGCUGGUGAUGGUGUCACACCACCACAUCUCUGUCAACUUUCUGCGACUCAACAUCGUUGGUAAGCACACGCUUCCACUCUUCCUCCCCCUCCUCCCUUAGUUUAAGAGAUUCUAGGGACCUUGGUCAAGCGGAUUCUUAUUCUUACUUCUAGUUGGGAGUGACAUGUAAGAGAUCCUUGGUCAUGAAUCUGUGUAAUUUGCUACUUGAUGUGUGUUUGUAUCCAUUCAGGAAUACUUUGAUAAAGAUUUACCGUAAAUGCAGCUUGUUUAUGCAGCUGUCAUUUAUUAUAGCCCGUUAUGCUUAUUGCAAGCUUCAGCUGCCUUUUUUGUCAGCAAAGUAAUUCUGUUUUACUUAGUUGUUUUCCUUUGCUGGUGGACAUAGAUCUGGUACGCAAUUUUGUACAGCAUGCUCAUUUCAAAAGUUUUGAACUUUGAAUGCACCUUUUACGAAUUUUAUGAUUUUGUCAUGUCACUGAUAAGUGAUGUUGGUAUGAUGUGCAAGUGAGUUCCAUUUUCUUCCUUCCUGAAUGUUGGUCAAGAUAUCCUGUCAUCUACCUUUUUCUUUAGUCAAUUUUGGGUUGUAUCUCUUCUGCACUUGGGGUUAUGGUGGUCUCUGUUUAUAUUCCGAUGUACUCCCAAUAUUUGUGCUCUCUAAUAAUACUUGCCUAUUAUUUGUCAUGGUCACAACCUGAUUUUAGCAUCUUGUGAUACAGGUUACUAAAGCAGCUUGCUCACAUGAUGUAGUUUGCAUGUAGAAUCUUUUCUUGUACCAAUCUACGUGGUUUAUGAUCUGGAAGAAUAAUUGCAACUUGUAGUAGUGUGUAUUGCUUGGAAUUGUUACUGCAGAUUUUGCUUGAAUCUGUUUGUCAUCCUUAUGUCACUUUGACUAGGAAUUGUUAAUGCAGAUUUUGCCCAUCGUGUUUUGUCUAUGUUUCCAUGUUCUGUAGCUAUAUUCAUGUCCAUGGUUUACUCACAGGAAGGUGCUACUGUGUGAUUUUUUUUUGAUAAACUACUAUUCAUUUUCUGUGCGAGGGCCUCGUCCGGUGGCUGGCGCUGGU